GACGAACGCUGGCGGCGUGCUUAAUACAUGCAAGUCGAACGAAAAGACCAGGAUCUUGUGGGGUGCUCGAUUGGCGAGGGGGUGAGUAACACGUGAGUAACAUCCACUUGUCUGUCGGGUAACACCACGAAACUGGGGCUCUUACAGGGUAGAAGCUCUUGCUCCACAGGGUGGGUUGGUAAAUGUCGGCUGUUGUGGAUGGACUCGCGGCUUAUGAGCCUGUUGGUGGGGUAGGUGAUUACCAAGGCUAUGAAGGGUAGCCGGCGUGGGAGAGUGACCGGGCACCAUGGGACUGCGAUACGGCCCAGAAGCCAACGGGAGGCAGCGGGGGAGAACAUUGCGCAAUGGGCGCAAGCGUGAGGCAGAAACGCCGGGUGCGGGAUGACGGCCUUUGGGUUGUGAACCACUUUCGACUGUGCCAAAGCGUGAUUGACGGUACCGGGUAAAAAAGCACCGGCUAACUACGUG
rnacentral:rRNA from 1 species